AUGAGUACCAUUUAGCUGGGAUUGAUGUGGUUGAUUUGGAACUCAAAUGGGUUCUUGAAAUUGGGCAGAAAUUACGGGCUGAAGGGAUGAAAGUUUUGGAAAAAGGACUUGAAGGCUUGAAUCAAGCUGAAGUUGGGGCUGGGCUUCAGGUGUUUUAUAAUAUGGGGGAGUUGAGGGGAACUGUGGAUGGGUUAGUGAGCAAGUACAAG
rnacentral:misc_RNA from 1 species